rnacentral:misc_RNA from 1 species
AACGCACCUUGCGCUCCUUGGUAUUCCGAGGAGCAUGCCUGUUUGAGUGUCAUUAAAUUCUCAAUCUCUACAACUUUUGUUGUUAGCAGGUUGGAUGUGGGGGCUUUUAUUGUGGGCGUUACAACCCACUCCCCUGAAAUGAAUUAGCUGGAAUGCCUCGGCAAAUCCAACUAUCAGUGUGAUAAAUAUCUACUGUGGUUGUUGCUUUUUGAGGGUAUCUGCUUCUCAACUGUCUGCAAAGACAACUUGAAUCAUUUUGACCUCAAAUCAGGUAGGACUACCCGCUGAACUUAA